UUUUUUUUUUUUUUUUUUUUAAACUAAGGAAUGUUUUAGUUAUGUGGAAAAGUACAAAGACUACUAUAACUAGUCACCAUAACCUAGAUUUAACAAUUAUUAGCUUAUUGCCAUAUUUGCUUCAUCACUUUUGCUGAAUUAUUUUGAAGUGAAUUACAGACAUCCUGACAUUUCACCCAUAAAUACUACAAUAUGAAUCUCUUAAAUAUGAGGGCACUCAGCUACAAUACCAUUACCACACCUAACAAAAUUAAUAAUAAUUCUGAAUAUAAUCUAAUAACCAACCUAUAUUCAAAUUUCCUUAACUUCUCCCCAAAAUAUGUAACCCUUCUGAAUUCACACAUCCUCCUUGCACAGAGCUGGGCUCAUCUUGCUGAAACUGUUGCAGUGUUAGCUCAUAAGCUGCUGCUGAAGCCACAUCAGCACCCGGCCCUAUCAUCACAAUGCCGUAUGCUCCUUGCUAUGCUUUUCCUUCUUAGUCUUUGAAAAUAAGAAACCUUCUCUCUUACUCCAAAACUCCUUCCACUCAAUUCUGGUAUGAAUCUAGUACAAAGCAGUCUUUCCUGAGUGGAAAAGACCCACUUUCCCAAUGUAGCUCCUGCCCCACUGCAGCCAAGACCAUGUGAGAGACACAAGUAAACAACACACACAGGACAGCACUGCUUGUGUCCAUUGUCAGCUACUCAGGGAAGGGGGAACGGUGGACAAGCUCCCAAAGACAGGGAUGGGGGGUCAUCCUGGGGUGAGAAGUCUCACCAAGAAGGGAGGAAAUUUUGAGGGGUCAACAUUUUGUCCUUGUUUUUGUCUGAAUACUCUUGUUCUGGACACAAUGUAUGUGUAGCUCAAGGGGUAUCAAGUUGGAAAGAAAAGCAAGGCUGGGCCAUUCCAGAUGCAGAGGGCCACCUUUGAGAUUCUCAAUCCCAAACCAAAGAGUUGUCCUAACAGACAUACCCCAUUCUCUUCCUCAGUGCCCAGAUAAUCUGCUCAUACAAUGGCCAGAUGGUGUCUUUGGGCACCCUCUCAAAAACCUUUAGAUUUCCUCCUCAACCCUGGGUGGGCAGCGUGCGCUGUUGGAGGUCAGCAAGGGGAACGGGCCUUAGUUACUGCUGCUUUCCUUAUUGCUUCAGACCUCUCUGAGUAACAAAGAAAAACAAGGAAGAGAGAAGUGGAGGAAGAGCACAGAGAAGAUGUCAUCCAAGGUGCCCUGCCUGAUCUUCAGGAGCUAAAAGCCCUGAAAGUCCCUAGCAGACCUCUACAAACCAAAACUACAUGCCCUGCCUCUGAAUGGCUGCCAGAGAGGAAUCACAUCAUCUCAUUUACCUUUUUUUUAGUCUCUCAGCAGUUUAAACUCCUACUUGUUCUUUAAGGCUUAAUCAGAAUCACCUCCUGAGCUCAGUCCUUCUGGUUUAUGCUUCCUUAGCAUCCAGUGGUGACCCCAUUGCAGGAUGUGUAGGGUAAGUUGUAAUUAUGCCUUCUUGGUUGCCUCCCCUGCUAGACUCUGAACUCCUUGAGGCCAAAGCCAUCAUAUUUAUCUCUGUAUCCUCAAUCCUUAACAUGGGGCCCAUCAAACCUCAAUCAUUUGAUAAAUGUUGGUCAAAAUUAACUGAAUUCUAACAGCUCUCUAAAAUCACCUUCUCUGUCUUGUUAGUGGCACUAAAGUGUGUAUUUUUCUUUGCUUAAAACAAAAUUCCCUGAUUGCUGCUCAGUAGCUCACUUGAUAACCGAACUAACUGGAAAGCAACACACAUUCAGAACCAUGUCUCCUAAAGGGCAGGCCCAGCUUUUUUGAUCCCUACUAGCCAAAGUCAGUGCUUUACAUAUGGAACACCCUCGAGACAUGCUUGUUGAAUUGACCUGAGGGUGCCCGUGAUCUAAGCUCCCCAGAGAAGUUGACCAUCUGCCAUAUAUAGCUACAGUGUGUUUGAAUUAUGUUAAGUAGCUGACAAAGUUCAAGUGAGGAAGAAAAUUACCAAUCCCUCCUGGAAGUGAGCUGAAAGAAGGGCUUUCUUGCUUCCAAAAUGUCCUAAGAUCUUGCUAAAUACUGACAUCUGUUUGCCUCCAGCUUGCUGCUCCCAAUGUUUGCCAACUGGCCGAGAAUGUUUGUGUCUUUACCAACCAUCUUCCCCCAUCGCACCCACAUCACUUCCUUCCCGAGCUGGCAACCUCACAGGCACUACCUUGUAAGCACCGUACAGGCACCAAGGGUGAAUACCCACCCCUCCACCGAGGAGACCGCUUCCCUUGAAAUGACCCAGUGUUUCCCCUGUCCUGCAAAAGUGUGAGUAGUACAUCACCACAAUCACAGGCCCCGUCACCCUCCCCUCCUCUGCUCCUCUUCCUGUUGCCCUCUUAAAUCACAUAUAAUCUGGCUGCCGUGACAUGAUUAAAGACACUGAACCCUCAUUCCAAGUGCACGAGUCCUUCUGGAGACAGACUGACUGGCAGAUAGUGUCUGACCACCUCCAUGCUCUUCUCUCCUGCUGUUCUCAUUCUCCUCUGCCUCUCCAAGCUCUUCUGGGAGGACUCACUAACUCCUCUUUUCCUCCCACCCUCUAACUCUGAGCAGUCCUUGAAGCUGAACCCUUAGGUCCUCUGUGCAGCUAGCUGUCUCCUCCCACUGCCCAGAAGACUUUGCUGCCUUAUUCAGACAUGUGUUCUUACACUUAAAUGUAUUUCAUUUUUUUCCCUUUAUAUCCCUCAGUGUUCUGAGGUGACCAGGUUCCCAAUCCUACAUAUAUCAGUGCUCCCCCAAACCCAUAGCUCACCAGUUCUCUACAUAUAUUUCAGUACCACAGCCUGGUAUGUUUUCUAGACAAUUUCAUUCAAAUCAUCGGCUGUUACCACGAAGUCAAUGUCUCCCCUCUCCAAACUAGCUUCCUUUCUCAGCAUUCUCCUUUCUUCCACUGGGCCUCCAUUUUUCUAAGGCACCAAGGGAGCACGUGAAUUUAAAAAACAAGAGAAAGUAAUGAGAGAAGAAAACCCCUAGAGACCUUUCUAUUUAGAAAGUGGCAAGAAAAUGCUAAUGCCUGCACUCUAACGCAGAGGUGAAAGAUGUGGAUUUCUAGGACCUGUCCCCAGAGACUCCGAUUUAGGAAGGCUAAGCUGUGGCCCAGGAAUCUGCAUUUUCACAAUGUCCCCGAGUGAGUCUGAUGGAAGCGGCUGUAGGUCACAUUCUGGAAGACUGGAUUUUAGCAGUUGGAUAUAGGAUAAAGCAGACAGGGCUAAAAAUGUGUAAAUGCCCAAAGGUGGCUUUAAAUAGAAGCAAUGAACUGUUACAAAGCUCUGUUGCUUAGGGAUUUUUACUAAAACCAUAGAACCGAGAUAGACCACAGAGUUUAUCUGGUCCAACUUCUUCAUUUAACAGAAGAAAAACCGAAGCUCAAAGGAGUUAGGUGCCUACAGAAGGCCACACAAGUCUAAGGCAGAAUGUUUAACCUAAGUGACAAAGGACGUCCUUUCAUAGAAAUAGUAAAGGAAAUAAGCACACACAAACACACACUCAUAGGCUUAAAACAGCUUUUUAAAAAUGUGCAAAUGAAUUGCCUGAGGCUUUUUUUUUUAAAUAUGCAGAUUCUGAUUCAGCAAGGAGGGGGCCUGAGAUCCUGCAUUUCUAACAAGCUCCCAGGUGAUGCCCUUGCUUCCAGGUCGCCAUCCACCCUUUAGGCAGCAAGUCUUAGAAAGUAAAAUAACUGCUCUUCUGUUGUUCUAAAUAAAUAGUCUGCUUCUUUACAACAAGCACUUGUGCUGUAGAAUGCGGUCUACUCCUGGUGUCCUCAGCUGCACCGUGUGGAGCGCGUGGACUCACUACAGUGCUGCCCCUCAGCCUAUCAGUCACCUGUUGACAGCCAGCAGAGAUGGCGCCUAAAACAAAGGUACUCACACCAAACCUCAGCCCCUGACUGUUACUGUAACAACUAUGUUGAAAAAUGACAUGGCCUCCUGAAAAUUGGGGAUUUAAAAAGAUGUAGCCGCAUACUGUUCUUGAAAACAUAUUUAGAAAAUUAGAUUAUUUCAUUUUGAAGGAAGCUUUCAAAUUAAAAAAUAAAUGUCCUUGUCUAGAAAUACAUGUGAAACAAACAAGAGGGUUUUAUUUGGAAUUAGGAAAUAAAGAGACACUUAGUGCCACUGUUACGAACAAAAGCUGGAUGAUACCCAGAAAAAGAAUGGUGUCCUGGCAUGGAGAUAGGCUUUGGCACCAUAUGGCCUGGCUUCAAAACUUGGCUCUGUCACUUACAUGCUGUGGGGUCUGGAGGUCACUGAUACGUUCUAAAAUAUCUUAAUAGUAGACAUAGUCUAUAAAAAUACAUUAGAAACAUUAACAACAUUCCCUUUCCAGAAACACAAAGUCUUCCCAAUACUCCCCCCAGGGCUCCUGAAAAAUGGGGUGACCAAAAGUCCAGUUCAUAAAGGGUGAAAGUGGAGAUCAAGACAGGACAAUAAGCAUUAAAUUAAGCAUCGUGUUUACACUCUGGAGAAUCAAGCAUAACUUAAAAAAAAAGAAAAAGAAAGAGAUGUUUUUCCUUUGCUGCAAAAGCAAGCUCAGGAAGUAAGAGACUCCUCCCUUUUUAGGUACCUGGCAAUGUACAGACUGGGCGGUGAUAUUUACUCAAAGAAUUGCGUGCAAACAUAGAUUGUUAUUCCAAAAUCUCCCUUCUAUAUGACCUGGACAUGACAACAGUUUAAGUUUCCCUAUCUAGAUGUGACAGGGUUCUUAUUUAAGAAAAGAGCUUAAGGAAUCAUACAGUGAAUACAAACCAACCAUCACUUAGAUUCAAUAGCUACUUAUAUUUUUGCUGUGUUUGCUUUAUAUUGUGAGGAGAUGUUUUUUGAUUAAUCACAAGGUUUUAAAAAGAUCCUUUUUCUUACCUCCAAAGAACAAAUAACUUCAAUGGGGGAGACAAGCCUUCAUGUAUGAAAAGGCUAAAUAACAAUACAAUACCGAUGAAGUGAGAAAAUGAGUACAGACAGUGAGUAAUUCAAAGGGCUGUCAUCGUGAGCUGUGAAAGCUCCCAGAAGGAGAUAGGGCUCAAGUCUUAAAGACUGUGUUGGAUUUGGAGGGUGCUGGGGUGGUUGAUCCAAGGAGACUGUGAAUUCAAGAGCCCUUGGGCAGUGUGUGGAGAGCAGCCUGGCUGGAGCUGAGCUGUGAGGUCGACACUUGACCCUGAAGGCACUAGGGGGUCACUGAAGGUCCAAGCAGCAAGCAGUGGUGUGAUGAAAGUAGUGCUUUAGGAAGUGUAAAGUGUCUGCAGGUCCAACUUAGAGUGGGGCUAAGGGAACAGCUUCCGAGGGAUGAGAAUGAGGGCCAGGAAAGGAGUCCAUGGGGGGCAUAUGGGGCCUGUCCUGGGGCCAUGCCCUGUGGAUGAACAAGGGCUAACUAUGAAAGAUAAUCCAACAGGGUUUGUUGGAGGAGAGAGAUUCCUCACAGACAAUACCAAGGUUUUAAAUAUCAUGACUGGGAGAGUGAAUUCUAUAAGUGUCACUUAUAGAAUUAAGAAAGUCACCAUAGAAUUAAGAAAGUCAACAGGAAGAGCUAGUUUGGGGAGAUGGAAACACAGAGUUGAGUCUGAGAUUGGCCGAAGCCCAAGUAACUGCCAACACUUCAACUGAAAAUGUCUAGAUUCACAGAACCAAUGCUCAACAGAAGGACAGAGGUAGAAAAUAUCUCCACAUCACUCUCUUUUCAUUUAUCUUCUUACUUUUUUUCCUGUGCGCCUUAAAGAAAAAGGUUUCUCUCUGCUAACCAAAGCUAAGCUCUUACUUUUGUUAGGAAACCGAUUCUUAUCUCAUUUCUUCAGGUAUCAAACUCUACACUCGUUCUAGCCUCCUCGGUUUUUCAUCUCCACACACAUUCUCUCCCUGCCACCUCCAAACCUGCUAUGACUCUGAUAAAAACAAAAAUUCCUUUUCUGGAUACUAACGUCCCUUCUGGCUAAGCACAUACCUCUUUUCCCUUUCACUGAUAAACUCUGCAAGUAGCUGAUUCCCACUCACCACCGCAAAUCCCUCCUCUGAACACCUCUUUUAAUCCUCUGCUCCUGGAGCGCGCAGGGUCUUUCUUUCACCAUG
rnacentral:lncRNA from 1 species